CCUGCUUUCAGUUGCUACCGGGUCAUGCCGGGAACUCUGGAAGGACUGCCCAGGAUAACGGGGAGGAAGGUGGGGAUGACGUCAAGUCAUCAUGCCCCUUAUGUCUUGGGCUGCACACAUGCUACAAUGGCCGGUACAAAGCGCUGCAAAC
rnacentral:rRNA from 1 species